UGAGGAAUAUUGGUCAAUGGACGAAAGUCUGAACCAGCCAUGCCGCGUGAAGGAAUAAGGCCCUAUGGGUCGUAAACUUCUUUUGUAUGUGAGCAAUAAGGUCCACGCGUGGUCCGAUGAGAGUAGCAUACGAAUAAGCAUCGGCUAACUCCGUGCCAGCAGCCGCGGUAAUACGGAGGAUGCAAGCGUUAUCCGGAUUCAUUGGGUUUAAAGGGUGCGUAGGCGGCUUGGUAAGUCAGCGGUGAAAUUCCAGUGCUCAACAUUGGCCGUGCCGUUGAUACUGCUGGGCUUGAAUGCGGAUGCCGUGGGAGGAAUGUGUGGUGU
rnacentral:rRNA from 1 species